rnacentral:lncRNA from 10 species
AUACACAGAGGUGCCGGGAGGAGAAGGGACGCAUUGGCCCACCGCCUCGUGAGUCCAGGCGCCGUAAUUGGUGCUUCACGCAUGUCGUCUCAGUAAUCUUCAUAACAGCCUUGCAAGGGAUAAGAAAACAGAGGCCCAGAAAGGGUAAGUCAUUUGCUUGAGGUUACAUAACUGGCAAGAUGUCAGGAAUGAAUAUAAACCAGCAUCGAUUGAGCACCUACUAUUCGGCAGGAUCUGUGCUGUGAUUCUUAUCCUUGUGCAAACCC